rnacentral:rRNA from 1 species
AUUGAACGCUGGCGGCAUGCCUUACACAUGCAAGUCGAACGGUAACAGGUCUUCGGAUGCUGACGAGUGGCGAACGGGUGAGUAAAGCAUCGGAACGUGCCCAGUCGUGGGGGAUAACUGCUCGAAAGAGCAGCUAAUACCGCACACGACCUAAGGGUGAAAGCGGGGGACCUUCGGGCCUCGCGCGAUUGGAGCGGCCGAUGUCAGAUUAGAUAGUUGGUGGGGUAAAGGCUUACCAAGUCGACGAUCUGUAGCUGGUCUGAGAGGACGACCAGCCACACUGGGACUGAGACACGGCCCAGACUCCUACGGGAGGCAGCAGUGGGGAAUUUUGGACAAUGGGCGAAAGCCUGAUCCAGCAAUGCCGCGUGCAGGAAGAAGGCCUUCGGGUUGUAAACUGCUUUUGUACGGAACGAAAAGGUUCUUUUUAAUAAAGAGGACUGAUGACGGUACCGUAAGAAUAAGCACCGGCUAACUACGUGCCAGCCGCCGCGGUAA